rnacentral:rRNA from 1 species
UACGUAGGGGCGUAGCGUUAUCCGGAAUUACUGGGCGUAAAGGGUGCGUAGGUGGUUUCUUAAGUCAGAGGUGAAAGGCUACGGCUCAACCGUAGUAAGCCUUUGAAACUGGGAAACUUGAGUGCAGGAGAGGAGAGUGGAAUUCCUAGUGUAGCGGUGAAAUGCGUAGAGAUUAGGAAGAACACCAGUGGCGAAGGCGAUUCUCUGGACCGUAACUGACGCUGAGGCUCGAAAGCGUGGGGAGCAAACAGGAUUAGAUACCCGGGUAGUCCCUGAGCGGGCU